rnacentral:rRNA from 1 species
AACAGGAUUAGAUACCCUGGUAGUCCACGCCGUAAACGAUGUCGACUUGGAGGCUGUUCCCUUGAGGAGUGGCUUCCGGAGCUAACGCGUUAAGUCGACCGCCUGGGGAGUACGGCCGCAGGGUUAAAACUCAAAUGAAUUGACGGGGGCCCGCACAAGCGGUGGAGCAUGUGGUUUAAUUCGAUGCAACGCGAAGAACCUUACCUACUCUUGACAUCCAGAGAAUUUAGCAGAGAUGCUUUAGUGCCUUCGGGAACUCUGAGACAGGUGCUGCAUGGCUGUCGUCAGCUCGUGUUGUGAAAUGUUGGGUUAAGUCCCGCAACGAGCGCAACCCUUAUCCUUUGUUGCCAGCGCGUAAUGGCGGGAACUCAAAGGAGACUGCCGGUGAUAAACCGGAGGAAGGUGGGGAUGACGUCAAGUCAUCAUGGCCCUUACGAGUAGGGCUACACACGUGCUACAAUGGCGCAUACAAAGAGAAGCGACCUCGCGAGAGCAAGCGGACCUCAUAAAGUGCGUCGUAGUCCGGAUUGGAGUCUGCAACUCGACUCCAUGAAGUCGGAAUCGCUAGUAAUCGUAAAUCAGAAUGUUACGGUGAAUACGUUCCCGGGCCUUGUACACACCGCCCGUCACACCAUGGGAGUGGGUUGCAAAAGAAGUAGAUAGCUUAACCUUCGGGAGGGCGUUUACCACUUUGUGAUUCAUGACUGGGGUGAGGUCGUAACAAGGUAACCGUAGGGGAACCUGCGGCUGGAUCACCUCCUU